rnacentral:lncRNA from 1 species
AAAAAGGAGCCAACAUUGCAGCUAGCCUUGGGAAAAUCUCCACAGAUGAGCAUUUUUGUUGCGUUAAGUGGCCGGCAUUAGCAGCCUAAACACGUAGGGGAAGGCUAACAUCGCCGUUAAUAUAAUGCGGGAGAGGAAUGAUAGACCUGGGAGUAGAGAGUGGAAGCGCUAGUUUUGCAUAAAACAAAACAAAACAUUUCUGAGGACUUAAGCUCCUAGGGGGUUGGGUGGAGUGAAUUUAGGGAGCGCCUCAAUCCAUAGAGGAAGCAUGCACCGGGGCAUCAGUUUCAGAGGCUUAUUUUAAAAAUAUAUAUUUAUUUCAGCUGCCUUAAAAAAUAAUUUCACAGUCAGAAAAAUAGCUUCUUAGACCAUGGUUCUGAGGUCGUCUCUGGGAGGGAGAAGAAUCACCUCCGAGAUGUCUUUCAAACUCCAGCAUUGAGACUAAGAAUUGACAAGAAAUCCUCAACUUGAACAAUAUUCUAAGUGCCCUAAAGCAAUUAAAACAAAACUUUGGAGGAGUGGGGCGGGGAGACAUUCCUGGAGGGCCAGAGCGGGGAUCGCAGCAGAAUCUGCAGCACUGGUGUUAAGGAGAAUUUGAGCGCUCGAAUGCUGUUGUUAAAUUUCUUCCCAGAGCCCCAUGCUCCCUCGUUUAGCAUCUCCCUUCCCCAAUAAUUACUUGAGAGGAUGAGCUCGAGAUUGAAGAGUGAGGUUGGCUUUUCUGUGUGAGGAGCCGAUAGGAUCCACCAACACUAAAAUCAAAAAGACUCCUGGUGCUUGCGAGUACAACCCCAAAUUCUCUCGCACACUGCCCAAGUUUCUUGAAACUCGGAGGCUCAGCUCAGUGUAAAAACAUGGGGGUUCUCCUGAGUCGGUUUCCCUGACCACAGGGGGACCCCUGCAAACACGGCCUCCUCUUUAAUACCUUUGUAACUCAGUUCUUCAAGCAACCCACCUAGGAGAAUAAAAGGACCCACUGAGCUCCAAUAACUGAGUAGAUGAUUAAAUAAAGCCGAGAUCUCAGAUCUUCGCGUUUGGGGUGGGGAGUGGGGGCGCUGGGGAAAAGUCGGGAAUAGCCCCGCGGUACCUGGGGAUCCCAGUUGUUUUUUCUAAGAAAGCCCGGGGUUAAAAAAUGCAUUGGAAUGUGGCGAUGCCUCCAUCAGCCGUCACUUUAUAAGUUCCCAAGUCACGCUGCUCUAGACCAUUGUGGAUGAAAGUGGAUUGUCUCUCCAGAACCAAAUAUUCCCUGACCUGCUUCCCCAACGCGCCCUCACGCUUUCCUGGGAGAGCACAGCGCUGCCGGAGACGCGGCGCUUCUGUCAAUUGUGCAGAGCAAUUACUAAGAAAAUAUUGUGACGAUGUUGUAGGGCGAAAGGGGACGUGAGGAGGAAAGGGAGGGGGAGUUAGUUUGGAGAGCAAUUUGCAAAGGAAUAUUAACUUUGAUUCCCGAGGUCACCGCGGGAAAAGGGGUUCUGGGCUGCAGAGCUCUUCCUCUAGGUGGCGGACUUUGGCACCAAACAACCGCUAGAUGAGCGCUGACUUCAAACACAGGAUUAAGCUUCUUGCUGGUUAAAAAUAAUAACAGUAAUAAUAUAGAGGUGUGGGGCUGUUUUUUCCCCCUUUUGGAUAUUUAUUUAUUGCAGGGAAAAGUCAUUGAUUUUCCUAAGCAAACUGUGUUUCUCCUUCACUUGGUGGAAAAUAAAAACUGUUUGAAUAAAUAAGUUAUUUCUGAACAU